GGAAACUUGGAAACUACCGUUGGAUCGAGAAAUGGACGUCCGAGAUUGGUCCACAUCACCCUGAGUUAAAAUUUAACUCCCAUUAAAAUUUUAACUCAUGAGUGAGUCUGCGAGUUAAAUUUUAACUCAUGGUGACGUGGAUGAAUAUCAGACGUCUAUUUCUCGAUCCAACGGUAGUUUCCAAGUUUUC
rnacentral:pre_miRNA from 1 species